GAUGAAGAACGCAGCAAAAUGCGAUAAGUAAUGUGAAUUGCAGAAUUCAGUGAAUCAUCGAAUCUUUGAACGCACAUUGCGCCCGCUGGUAUUCCGGCGGGCAUGCCUGUUCGAGCGUCAUUUCAACCCUCAAGCCCCCGGGUUUGGUGUUGGGGAUCGGCUCUGCCCUUCUGGGCGGUGCCGCCCCCGAAAUACAUUGGCGGUCUCGCUGCAGCCUCCAUUGCGUAGUAGCUAACACCUCGCAACUGGAACGCGGCGCGGCCAUGCCGUAAAACCCCAACUACUGAAUGUUGACCUCGGAUCAGGUAGGAAUACCCGCUGAACUUAAGCAUAUCAAUACGGAGGA
rnacentral:misc_RNA from 1 species